UAUAUUUUAGUGUAUGAUGCAUAUUAAUUUUUGGUGUUUAUGGUGAUAGUUUAAUUCUGUCAAAUAUAA
rnacentral:tRNA from 1 species